GAUGAACGCUGACAGAAUGCUUAACACAUGCAAGUCGAUGGGGAAGUGGUGCUUGCACCAUGGUAACCAUGGCGGACGGGUGAGUAACGCGUAAGGAACUUGCCUGCGGGACUGGGAUAACAGCAGGAAACUGCUGAUAAUACCGGAUAAGGUCAUUAAGCUGCAUAGCUUAGUGAUGAAAGGAGACGCCUGCGGAGAGCCUUGCGUCCUAUUAGCUAGUUGGAGGGGUAACGGCCCACCAAGGCGAAGAUAGGUAGCCGGCCUGAGAGGGUGGACGGCCACAAGGGGACUGAGAUACGGCCCUUACUCCUACGGGAGGAAGCAGUGGGGAAUAUUGGACAAUGGGGGCAACCCUGAUCCAGCAAUUCUGUGUGCACGAAGACGGUUUUCGGAUUGUAAAGUGCUUUCAGCAGGGAAGAAGGAAGUGACGGUACCUGCAGAAGAAGCGACGGCUAACUACGUG
rnacentral:rRNA from 1 species